rnacentral:rRNA from 1 species
GGAGGAAAGCAGGGGAUCGCAAGACCUCAUGCUCGUGGAGCGGCCGAUAUCUGAUUAGCUAGUUGGUAGGGUAAAAGCCUACCAAGGCAUCGAUCAGUAGCUGGUCUGAGAGGACGACCAGCCACACUGGAACUGAGACACGGUCCAGACUCCUACGGGAGGCAGCAGUGGGGAAUUUUGGACAAUGGGCGAAAGCCUGAUCCAGCAAUGCCGCGUGAGUGAAGAAGGCCUUCGGGUUGUAAAGCUCUUUUGUCAGGGAAGAAACGGUGAGAGCUAAUAUCUUUUGCUAAUGACGGUACCUGAAGAAUAAGCACCGGCUAACUACGUGCCAGCAGCCGCGGUAAUACGUAGGGUGCAAGCGUUAAUCGGAAUUACUGGGCGUAAAGCGUGCGCAGGCGGUUUUGUAAGUCUGAUGUGAAAUCCCCGGGCUCAACCUGGGAAUUGCGUUUGAAACUACAAAGCUAG